AUGCAAGUCGAACGGAACGAUGAAGAGCUUGCUCUUCAGGCGUCGAGUGGCGGACGGGUGAGUAAUACAUAGGAAUCUGCCCAGUAGCGGGGGACAACUUGGGGAAACUCAAGCUAAUACCGCAUACGCCCUACGGGGGAAAGCAGGGGAUCUUCGGACCUUGCACUAUUGGAUGAGCCUAUGUCAGAUUAGCUUGUUGGUGGGGUAAUGGCCUACCAAGGCGACGAUCUGUAGCUGGUCUGAGAGGACGAUCAGCCACACUGGGACUGAGACACGGCCCAGACUCCUACGGGAGGCAGCAGUGGGGAAUAUUGCACAAUGGGCGAAAGCCUGAUGCAGCAAUGCCGCGUGUGUGAAGAAGGCCUGCGGGUUGUAAAGCACUUUCAGUAGGGAGGAAAAGCAAUGGGCCAAUACCCCGUUGUCUUGACGUUACCUACAGAAGAAGCACCGGCUAACUCUGUGCCAGCAGCCGCGGUAAUACG
rnacentral:rRNA from 1 species